GGAAAAGCAACAAGAGCAAAGGCAUUGUUUCUAGUUCUUACACUUGCUGGACUUCCUACUGACCAUAACUCUGUACGUGAGCAGAUUCUAGCCAGUCCUACAGUUCCCUCCAUUGAUGAAUUAUUCUCUCGUUUGCUUCGUCUUGCUGCACCUCCCAGUCACAAAGAAGUUUCAUCACCCAUUGUUGACUCCUCUAUUCUCUCAUC
rnacentral:misc_RNA from 1 species